UACGUAGGGUGCAAGCGUUAAUCGGAAUUACUGGGCGUAAAGCGUGCGCAGGCGGCUUUGCAAGACAGAUGUGAAAAUCCCCGGGCUUAACCUGGGAACUGCAUUUGUGACUGCAUGGCUGGAGUGCGGCAGAGGGGGAUGGAAUUCCGGCGUGUAGCAGUGAAAAUGCGUAGAUAUGCGGAGGAACACCGAUGGCGAAGGCAAUCCCCCUGGGCCUCACUGACGUCA
rnacentral:rRNA from 1 species